UCCACCCCAGGAGGACAGAGGGAGGAAGGCAGGCAGAGCCGGCACUUGGGGACGGCAGUGGUCCGAGCGGUUCCGGAGCAGGAGCUCUUCUCAGAGAGGCAGGGACAGACCGGCAGCGGACACCCUGGCGCCCCCCACAGCCCCUGCCCCCCGAGGGCUGGUUCCGUGGCAGGGGCUCCUGCUGGCAGUCUCACUCUUAACCUGGAACCUGCUCACAACUGCCCAGCUCGCUGUGGAGUCGGUGCCGCCCAAUGCUGUCCAAGGGCAGGAUGUUCUUCUGCUUGCUCGCAAUCCUCCUGAGAGUCUUCUAGGCUAUGCCUGGUACAAAGGGGACCAUGUAAAUUUCAACUCUACAAUUGUAUCAUAUGUAAUAAACACACAAGCAGUUACCCCAGGGAUCGCAUACAGCAGCCGAGAGACAAUAUACCUCAGUGGAUCCCUGUUGUUCCAGAAUGUCACCCAAGAGGACACAGGAUACUACACCCUACAAGCCUUACACGGAAGUCUUCUGAGUACAACAGCAGCUGUCCAGCUUGGUGUCUACCGUGAGUGAUUCCUUUCUGACCUCUGGGUGUUGGGUGGGGUGAAUUGUACUUCACAAACAGUAGACUGACUGGUAGAGCUUUCCCUCACGUACUCACCACCCCCUGCUCCCUGCCUGCCCCCCUCAUUCAUUUCUGGAUUCCUAGUCCCUGCAGUGCCAUUCACGGGGUCAGUGUGUCUGGUCAGUCAUUAUCACACAGCAGGACAGAAUGCCCCACCUGCCUCUAUGGGGCCUGAGUCUGCAACUAGUUAUUUGAGAUCCCUUGAGAUUCUAUGUGAGUUUUUGGAAAUUUCUUUCUCUAUAAAAUAUUUCAUUGGAAUGUUGGAAAGGAUUGCAUUGAAUCUGUGUGUCUCUUUGGUGGUAUUGUCAUCUUAACUAUGGUAGGUCUUCCUAUUCUUGAACAUGGGAUGUCUUUCCAUUUAUCUGUGGUUUUGUAAAUUUCUUUCCACAUGAUUGCUAGAUUUCCCUACACAAGUCUGUUCCCUCAUUGGUUAAAUUUACUCCUAAGUAUUUUAUUCCUUGCAAAGUUAUUGUAAUUUCAAUCAUUUUCUUAAUAUCCAUUUUGGAUAGUUCAUUUUUGUGUGGAGAAACACACCUGAUUUUUGUAUGUUGAUUUUGUGUCUUGCAACUUGGCCAAAUUCAUUUGUUAGUUCUACCAGAUUUGUGGAAUCCUUGGGGUUGUCUACAUGUAAGUUCAUGCCGUCUGCAAACAUAUGUACAUAACUGUACUUCCUCCUUUCUGAUUUGGAUGCAUCCAUUUCUCCUUCUUGCCUGAUUGUUAUGACUGGGGCUUUUCUACUGUACAAAUGGGACACUGAAAGUGACAUCCUUGUUGUCUUCCUAUGAGGUGAGUGUGGGCAAUGAAUGCUCUGGUCCCACAGCCCCAAGGGUCCCAGAUGCCCCCAACCCACCCCCUGCUGAUCUACUAGGUUCAGAAAACGAUGGCAGAAAGGGAAACAGAAGGUGAUGGGAGGAGGGGGGGCUUUGGGGUCAAACCCCCUGGCCCAGCCCGGUCCUGCCUAGAGCAGCCCCAGGUGGACUCAGGGCCUGGCAGGUGCUGCACAGGUUCUGCGAAGGUUCCUGGUGAGUGUUUGGCCUCUUCUUCUUUUACAGUGUUUGUCACACCCCAACACGAACAUUUACUGCCGCAUCGACCAUAAAGCAGAUGCGGCUUCUUAGUUUCCUCUGUCAGCUGCUCUUUAAGAACUGUGGCAGGGUCCGCCUGACCCCACUCCCUGGCUAGGGUCACAAGCUGGAGCCUGAGCCAGAAAAUCAGCUCUGAGCCUGGGCAUAUUCAGGGACCCGAGGCCAGGUUCCCGACUCUCCUGAUUUCUUCAGUCCCCAAAGGGCUGCCCUGAUUCCUGGGUGGGCCAGACAAAGGCUCCCAUCCCCCCAGGAAGUGGGGGAGCUCCCAGGGAUGGUGACCUGACCCUCCUCCACCACCUGAGAGGGUGUGAAUAAAGAGGACCCUUCACCUCU